rnacentral:rRNA from 1 species
UACGGAGGGGGCUAGCGUUGUUCGGAAUUACUGGGCGUAAAGCGCACGUAGGCGGAUUUGCCAGUCAGGGGUGAAAUCCCGGGGCUCAACCUCGGGACUGCCUCUGAUACAGCAAGUCUUGAGUCCGGAAGAGGUGGGUGGAAUUCCUAGUGUAGAGGUGAAAUUCGUAGAUAUUAGGAAGAACACCAGUGGCGAAGGCGGCCCACUGGUCCGGUACUGACGCUGAGGUGCGAAAGCGUGGGGAGCAAACAGG